GACGAACGCUGGCGGCGUGCUUAACACACGCAAGUCGAGCGGUAAGGCCCUUUCGGGGGUACACGAGCGGCGAACGGGUGAGUAACACGUGGGUGACCUGCCCUCAGCUCUGGGAUAAGCCUGGGAAACCGGGUCUAAUACCGGAUAUGACUCCAUGACGCAUGUUGUGGGGUGGAAAGCCUUGUGCGGCUGAGGAUGGGCCCGCGGCCUAUCAGCUUGUUGGUGGGGUGANGGCCUACCAAGGCGACGACGGGUAGCCGGCCUGAGAGGGCGACCGGCCACACUGGGACUGAGACACGGCCCAGACUCCUACGGGAGGCAGCAGUGGGGAAUCUUGCGCAAUGGGCGAAAGCCUGACGCAGCGACGCCGCGUGAGGGAUGACGGCCU
rnacentral:rRNA from 1 species